GUACUUGCUUCGGCAGCACAUAUGCUAAAAUUGGAACGAUACAGAGAAAAUUAGUAUGGCUCCUGCACAAGAAUGACACGCAAAAUUCGUGAAGCAUUCCAUAUUUUU